CGUCGUCGUGCUAGCUAGCAGUAACGACAGCAGCCGUUAUGAAGGUAGCCUAGCAGUAACGACAGCAGCCGUUAUGAAGGUAGCCUAGCAGUAACGACAGCAGCCGUUAUGAAGGUAGCCUAGCAGUAACGACAGCAGCCGUUAUGAAGGUAGCCUAGCAGUAACGACAGCAGCCGUUAUGAAGGUAGCCUAGCAGUAACGACAGCAGCCGUUAUGAAGGUAGCCUAGCAGUAACGACAGCAGCCGUUAUGAAGGUAGCCUAGCAGUAACGACAGCAGCCGUUAUGAAGGUAGCCUAGCAGUAACGACAGCAGCCGUUAUGAAGGUAGCCUAGCAGUAACGACAGCAGCCGUUAUGAAGGUAGCCUAGCAGUAACGACAGCAGCCGUUAUGAAGGUAGCCUAGCAGUAACGACAGCAGCCGUUAUGAAGGUAGCCUAGCAGUAACGACAGCAGCCGUUAUGAAGGUAGCCUAGCAGUAACGACAGCAGCCGUUAUGAAGGUAGCCUAGCAGUAACGACAGCAGCCGUUAUGAAGGUAGCCUAGCAGUAACGACAGCAGCCGUUAUGAAGGUAGCCUAGCAGUAACGACAGCAGCCGUUAUGAAGGUAGCCUAGCAGUAACGACAGCAGCCGUUAUGAAGGUAGCCUAGCAGUAACGACAGCAGCCGUUAUGAAGGUAGCCUAG